CAGCCGCCGCGGGAAUACGUAGGGGGCGAGCGUUGUCCGGAAUUACUGGGCGUAAAGGGCACGCAGGCUGUGAUUCAAGUCGGCUGUAAAAGGAUGCGGCUUAACCGUGUUUAGCAGUUGAAACUGGAUGACUGGAGUGCUGGAGAGGCAAGUGGAAUUCCCAGUGUAGCGGUGAAAUGCGUAGAUAUUGGGAAGAACAUCGGUGGCGAAGGCGACUUGCUGGCCAGUAACUGACGCUGAGGUGCGAAAGCCAGGGUAGCAAACGGGAUUAGAUACCCGGGUAGUCCCUGUCUCUUAUACA
rnacentral:rRNA from 1 species